rnacentral:rRNA from 1 species
AGCGUGGAGACAGGUGGUGCAUGGCUGUCGUCAGCUCGUGUCGUGAGAUGUUGGGUUAAGUCCCGCAACGAGCGCAACCCUCACCCCUUGUUGCCAUCAGGUCAUGCUGGGCACUCUAGGGGAACUGCCCCGGUCAACGGGGAGGAAGGUGGGGAUGACGUCAAGUCAUCAUGCCCCUUACGUCCUGGGCUACACACGUGCUGCAAUGGCCGGUACAAAGGGAUGCCACACCGCGAGGUAGAGCUAAACCCAAAAAGCCGGUCUAAGUUCAGAUUGGAGUCUGCAACUCGACUCCAUGAAGGAGGAAUCGCUAGUAAUCGCGUAUCAGCACGACGCGGUGAAUACGUUCCCGGGCCUUGUACACACCGCCCGUCACACCACGAAAGCCAGCUGUACUCGAAGUCGCUGAG